GGCUGGUUUUAAUUAUUUUUUUUUAUUCGUUUAACCCCCAACUAAUCAUAUUAAAUGCCAACCAACCCAACCCUAAUCCAUCCCCUAGAUAACCCAAGCUUCCUGCAAACAUUUUUCAUAUUCUUUACACUCUCUAGACCCUCUCAAGCACACACAAAUUGCAGCUGAGUUCCAGAUUCGAGCAGAUUCAUACCUUCACACAAAAAAGGACUUGGUGUUCCAACCUCCCAUAACAACAACUCUCUCGCGGAUUCACAAGUGGAAAGCUUGCAAAACCGCUGAGAAUUAUGAUGCUAUGAAACGAAGUAGCAAUGAUGCCUAGAUACACAUUUAGACGAUUUAGGUUUAAAGUGUUGUAUCAAUUUUGUUUGUUAUGUUAUGGACAUGUUGUUAUUUGAAUUUUCCUUGUAAUGUUUGACAAUUUG